CUCUAUGUUGUCCUCAUUGUACAUGCUGUGUGUAUUUUUAUUACAUACACAGCGCAUGCAAUGUGGACAUAAUGGAG
rfam:Chelonia mydas contig53909, whole genome shotgun sequence.